UACGUAGGGUGCGAGCGUUGUCCGGAAUUAUUGGGCGUAAAGGGCUCGUAGGCGGUCUGUCACGUCGGGAGUGAAAACUCAGGGCUUAACCCUGAGCCUGCUUCCGAUACGGGCAGACUAGAGGUAUGCAGGGGAGAACGGAAUUCCUGGUGUAGCGGUGAAAUGCGCAGAUAUCAAGCGGAACACCGGUGGCGAAGGCGGCCUUCUGGACAGUGACUGACGCUGAGACGCGAAAGCGUGGGGAGCAAACAGG
rnacentral:rRNA from 1 species